GACGAACGCUGGCGGCGUGCCUAAUACAUGCAAGUAGAACGCUGAAGGAGGAGCUUGCUUCUCUGGAUGAGUUGCGAACGGGUGAGUAACGCGUAGGUAACCUGCCUGGUAGCGGGGGAUAACUAUUGGAAACGAUAGCUAAUACCGCAUAAGAGUAGAUGUUGCAUGACAUUUGCUUAAAAGGUGCAAUUGCAUCACUACCAGAUGGACCUGCGUUGUAUUAGCUAGUUGGUGGGGUAACGGCUCACCAAGGCGACGAUACAUAGCCGACCUGAGAGGGGUAUCGGCCACACUGGGACUGAGACACGGCCCAGACUCCUACGGGAGGCAGCAGUAGGGAAUCUUCGGCAAUGGACGGAAGUCUGACCGAGCAACGCCGCGUGAGUGAAGAAGGUUUUCGGAUCGUAAAGCUCUGUUGUAAGAGAAGAACGAGUGUGAGAGUGGAAAGUUCACACUGUGACGUUAACUUACCAGAAAGGGACGGCUAACUACGUG
rnacentral:rRNA from 1 species